rfam:Schistosoma mansoni strain Puerto Rico chromosome 1, complete genome
GUCCAGCUGAAGAGUCCUAAAUAUGACGUAACGCACGUCCUGAAU